rnacentral:lncRNA from 1 species
AGCGCACGAGUUUAACCCCAUCAACAUCCCCACCCAUCAAGAAGCUUCAUUUAAACACAAAUUAAUGAUGGCUAAAUCUGCAUCUUUCAAAACUAAACAAAUAUAAUCUGGGCUAGCUUCAGUUAGGUAAAUUUGAGGGUCUUCUUCUUAUAAUCCAUUUUGGUUGGCUAUGCAACUUUUCAAAUCUAGGGCCGUCUAAAAUUGCUUUGGCAAUUUCUAACCGAACCCCAACCAAGACCCAGCACGCA